AUCUUGGAGUAUGAGUUGAAAAACGACUCAAACAGCUUUGAACAGGAAUAUGAGGAAUAUGAGGUUUAUGAGGACCGAUUUGACCCCGCGCAGAGGGAGAAGCCAGGCACAUGGGAUGGAGAGGGCAGGCGAUUUGAGAAAGGACAGAAGGGAGAGCCAGCUGUUGUUGAACCAGUGAGUGCUGGAGUGUGAAGUCACACACACACACACACACACACACACACACACACACACACACACACACACACACACCUACUUAUUUGUUUGUAGUAGUUGGUACACACACACACACACACACACACACACACACACACACACACACACACACACACACCCAUUUGUUUUUGUGAAUUGUGGGGACAUUCCAUAAGCAUUAUGGUUUUAUACUUUUUUUAAUGCCCUACACCAACCCUACACCUAACCCUACCCCUUACAGGAAACUUUGUGCAUUUUUACUUUCUCAAAAAAACUCAUUCUGUAUGGUUUAUAAGCGUUUUGAAAAAUGGGGACAUGGGUUAUGUCCUCAUAAGUCACCCUCUCCUUGUAAUACCUGUGUCAUACCCAUGUCAUUAUACAAAGUUGUGUCCUGAUAUCUCACAAAAACAAAAGCACACACAUACUGUACACACACUGAUUUAUGUAGGCGAAUGCAAUCUAAUUCUAAUCUCUUUGUGUUUUAUACUAACUAGGGCACAUAUUUUCAAGGGCCUCCUGGCCCACCAGGACCACAUGGUCUUCCAGGAAUUCCUGGCAUCACAGGCCCCCCGGGACCCAGUGGAGACCCAGGUGAUAUGGUGAGUGUCCUCUUAAUGAGCUGACCCACAUGACCCGACAUGAACCUCGAGUCUAAGACACACAGGACACAUCCCGGGGAUCGGGGGGAUGAUUGAACUCGUGUGCAGAUGGAACAAACCUUACCAAUGACUCAGAGCCCCUUGAAGGGACCACCAACCUCUACCGAGACCAUAGGCACCAGGGGAGCCAUGACUCAUCUGAUGAUUUGACCUAAUUUGUGCUGGACAGUGUGUCUGUUUUGUAGCAUGACUCACUCUUUACACACGAUCCCUUAGCAGGGUAAGACAGACCGCAGACUUCCAGCUGCAGUAAAGAGCCUGAAUUCAUCAUCUACCUCUGACAGUAGGGAUGGAGAUAGAUUAUCUUUUGUCUGCGCUCAGUUUAGGGCCUCUGGCCGGUUGUGAAUCAACUUCUCU
rnacentral:lncRNA from 1 species